UCAGAAAAAGGAGACUCUAACUCCUACCCCUAACUCCCAAAGCUAGGAUUCUUACGUUAAACUAUUCUCUG
rnacentral:tRNA from 1 species